rnacentral:snoRNA from 1 species
GAAGAUGAUGAUAGGUUUUGUCGCCCCAGUCUUACAAGCAUCUCUUGAUGCGACAUGGUGAUCGACAAAUUCUAUAUCUGAUUC